UCAGGAUGAACGCUGGCGGCGUGCCUAAUACAUGCAAGUCGAACGCAUUACUCGGUAGUGAGUGGCGAACGGGUGAGUAACACGUAGGUAACUUACCUCUAAGACGAGGAUAACGACUGGAAACGGUCGCUAAAACUGGAUAGGAUCAUUUGAGGCAUCUCGAAUGAUUUAAAGGGGCUUUCAAGCCACACUUAGAGAAAGGCCUGCGGCGCAUUAGCUAGUUGGUGGGGUAGAGGCCUACCAAGGCGAUGAUGCGUAGCCGGACUGAGAGGUCGAACGGCCACAUUGGGACUGAGACACGGUCCAGACUCCUACGGGAGGCAGCAGUGGGGAAUAUUGGGCAAUGGGCGCAAAGCCUGACCCAGCAACGCCGCGUGAGGGAAGAAGGUUUUCGGAUUGUAAACCUCUGUCGCAAGGGACGAAGAAGUGACGGUACCUUGUAAGAAAGCCCCGGCUAACUACGUGCCAGCAGCGGC
rnacentral:rRNA from 1 species